rnacentral:tRNA from 1 species
GGUCCCGUGGUGAAACGGAUAUCAUAUCGCCCUCCGAAGGCGGGGUUGCAGGUUCGAUUCCUGCCGGGACCGCCA